AAUCAACGCUGGCGGCGUGCCUCAGACAUGCAAGUCGAACGCGAAAGUCCCCUUCGGGGGGCAAGUAGAGUGGCGCACGGGUGAGUAACACGUAGGUAAUCUACCUUUGGAUGGGGAAUAACAACCGGAAACGGUUGCUAAUACCGCAUAAUGCAGCGGCACCUAAUGGUGACAGUUGUUAAAGCGGGGGAUCGAAAGACCUCGCGUCUGAAGAGGAGCCUGCGGCGGAUUAGCUAGNGGUAAGGUAACGGCUUACCAAGGCGACGAUCCGUAGCCGGCCUGAGAGGGCGGUCGGCCACACUGGCACUGACAUACGGGUCAGACUCCUACGGGAGGCAGCAGUCGGGAAUUUUGGGCAAUGGGCGAAAGCCUGACCCAGCAACGCCGCGUGAAGGAUGAAAUCCC
rnacentral:rRNA from 1 species